UACAGAGGGUGCAAGCGUUGUUCGGAAUUAUUGGGCGUAAAGGGCGCGUAGGCGGUGCGGUAAGUCUGUAGUGAAAUCUCUGGGCUCAACUCAGAGUCUGCUGCAGAAACUGCCGUGCUUGAGUGUGGGAGAGGUGAGUGGAAUUCCCGGUGUAGCGGUGAAAUGCGUAGAUAUCGUAAGGAAGACCAGUGGCGAAGGCGAGUUUCUGGACGGUAACUGACGCUGAGGCACGAAGGCCAGGGGAGCAAACGGG
rnacentral:rRNA from 1 species